rnacentral:rRNA from 1 species
UACAAGGGAGACUAGUGUUAUUCAUCUUUAUUAGGUUUAAAGGGUACCUAGAUAGCACAAUCUAUAUAACAUAGAUAAGACGCUAGAGUUCUCAUAUAGAAGAGGUUAAUAUAGAACUGAAGGAGUUAGAGAUGGAAUGUUUUUAUCCUUUCAUGACUGGCACGUGAAGACAAUCCUCUAUAUAUGAACUGACAUCGAGGGACGAAGGCUUGGUCAACAAAGAGG